rnacentral:rRNA from 1 species
CCUACGGGGGGCUGCAGUGGGGAAUAUUGGACAAUGGGGGCAACCCUGAUCCAGCCAUGCCGCGGGUGUGAAGAAGGCCCUCGGGUUGUAAAGCACUUUCAGUGAGGAAGAACGCCUGGUGGUUAAUACCCAUCAGGAAAGACAUCACUCACAGAAGAAGCACCGGCUAACUCCGUGCCAGCAGCCGCGGUAAUACGGAGGGUGCGAGCGUUAAUCGGAAUUACUGGGCGUAAAGCGCGCGUAGGUGGCUUGAUAAGCCGGUUGUGAAAGCCCCGGGCUCAACCUGGGAACGGCAUCCGGAACUGUCAAGCUAGAGUGCAGGAGAGGAAGGUAGAAUUCCCGGUGUAGCGGUGAAAUGCGUAGAGAUCGGGAGGAAUACCAGUGGCGAAGGCGGCCUUCUGGACUGACACUGACACUGAGGUGCGAAAGCGUGGGUAGCAAACAGGAUUAGAUACCCCGGUAGUC